GGGGCCUCGGGAGCGCGCUCGCGCCGCAAGAAGGGGCGCCCCGGCUCGGCCCGGAGCGCGGACGGCGGAGUCGCCAUCUUGUACUCGGCUCGACCCUAUCUGGUGCCGGGGAACGUGGGACCGAGGGCCCGGGGCUGGAAGGAGGCGCGGGCGCGAGCGGGGCGCGUUGCCGGUGGCACGCGCGUGCUCUAAGUGGAGCGCGGUGAUCCCCCAUCCGCCCGCCCGGGCUCUGCAAACCUCUGGGCCAGGUCUCGCCACCGGGCCUGCCGGGCGGGCCCUGACUCGCGAAGGGGCGGAGCUGCCUGCGGCCACCACUUCCUGAGAGCCGGGGAUACCCAUCCCGGACGUCACGGAGGAGCCGAGGCGGCGGUGGCGGCCCAGGACUCAGGCUGCACUUGCAUCAUGGGUGCAGCAGCAGCUGCCCCGCUCCUUUGUGCCUUUUUCCCCCUAUUGAGUAACUGCUUUGUUAACCGAAAAUACCAUGACGGACCAGUGUGAUCACCAGUUCCAGACCUCAAAGAAAGUGAAGCUGUCAGGCAAGAAGAGGGAGACUUCCCCCAGCCGGCUGUGAUGGUAUCUGGGCUUGAGUUUGAGCCGGGGCCUCAUGCACACUAGGAGAGCCCCCUACCACUGAGCUACACCCCCGGUCCUCCACCAGCCUCUUCACUGGCCUCGUUAGCCUCACCAGACCAUUUUACACAACCCUGUGUAUCUCUGAUCUAUCUUCAGAUACGUGCUGCUAAAGUUUCAACAGUUUGUAGAGGUUUUUGGAAGCACCUACCCCAAGACAGAUGCAUGGAUACUAAAAACUGUGUUGGUUGCACAUAAUCUGAAGAAUUGGUUAUGCAUUCUGUAACAUCCAUUAGCUACUCUAUGAUUGAGCCAUCUUCCCUCUAAUCCCCUCAAGUUUCCCUUUCUGGAUCUGUGAAUAGAAAUAUCUGAGUCUCCCAGGACGUUUUCAAUGAGCAACACUGUGAUGUUCUGCAGCACUGACUUAGAGGACCUGUCUGGAUUUCUUGCUGGAGCCAGAGCAGAAUAAGGCUCUGGGAUGGCAUUUCGGGCAUUUCUCCUGUCUUUCUUCUCUGAGAUGCCCGGCAUCUUUGGAGACAGUUCCCAUAUACAGGGAAGAACCAUGUGAAGAUGUUCCCGGAUCAGUUCUUCAUUUCAGCAGAUCAAUCUUCUAAAGACUCAAGAACAAUAACCAGUUGCUGGAAGGAAGAGUGUUCCGGCCUGCUACACAGACAUAUUGACACAUAUGCGAGGAGACUGGAGCCCAAAGGAAAGUGAGAGCAAAAUCUGGCAAGAUUUGAGAGAAGAGGAAGACUAAAUUGCAGGAAAGGGGAAAGCUUUGUAUUUUCCUUAAAAGAUAGUAAAAUUGCCCAGCAGUGGUGGCAAAUAUCAUCAAUCCCAGCACUCAGGAGGCAGAGACAGGUAGAUCUCUGAGUUCAAAUCCAGCCUGGUCUACAGAGCUAGUUCCAGGACAGCUAAGGCUACACAGAAAAACCCUGCCUGGAAAAUAAAAACAAAUGAACAAAAAGUAAUAAAAUUAGGGCACACAGAAAUAUAGGGAAGGAAAAAUAUUACUGUCAGGUAGAAAGUAUAUUUGGCUUGCAAUUAACUGAAUUUUGGUUCAAUUUUCUCUAAUUCCUAGUUUCAUCUGUAAAAUGUAGGAUACUAAUAGCAAAACUUUGCUUCAGGAUUUUUUACGGUUAAAAAGGAUUAGUUACAUGCAAAUUCUCUGGCCAGCCCCUGGGUUGCCAAGCCUGUGUAGAAGACAUUGGAGACAACACCAAGCUGUGUGCUGAAGACUUGUCCUGCUCCUAUUAUUUGUUAAUUGUCUGGGAAAGUCUUAAAAAAUUGCUCAACCUUAGUUACUUCUUCUGUAAAAUAGGGACAAUUAUCACAGCAAUUUUAUAGGAACCAUUUAAAGAAGAAACAAGCUAGUUCAUAUAGAGUAAAAUAUUUGGUGCCGAAGUUCCUGCUGUUGAAUGACCACUGCAGAUGGCCAAGGAUUGACAGAGCUGCUGCUCUUGCAGGGACCCAGGAUUUGGUUCCUAAUAUCCAUAACAGCAAGUGUUCACAAUUGCCUGUAACUCUACUUCCAGGGGACACUGAGCUGUCUUCUGCCUCUGAGAACACUUGCACAAUACACUGGAAAUAAAAUGGAAAUAAUUAAAAAUAGUAUUUUUUUGUAUCUCUGUGAGUUUGUGGCCAACCUGGUCUAUUGAUCGAGUACCAGGACUGACAAGACUAUACAGAGAAACUGUCUUGAAAAAAAUAAAACAAGCUAGCCAAACAAGCAAACAAAAAGCCAAAAAGAAAAAGAAAAGGAACAAUUCCUUAAAAUUAAAAAAAAAGAUGUUUUGGUAUGUGCCUGUGUGUGUACAUCUGUGUGUCUGUGUGCACAGGUUCAUGUGCACAUGUUUGCAGAGGCCAGAGGUCAAUGUCUGCUGUCUUUCUCAAUUGCUCUCCACCUUAUUUUUAAGACAGGGUCUCUCACUGAACCUGGAACUAGCUGAUUUGCUAGACUGUCCACCCAACAAGUCCCUGAGACCAUCUUGUCUCAGUAUCCCCAGAGCUGGGGGACUGAUUAUAAGCAUGCCCCUGGCUUUUUCAGGUGAAUGUUGGGGAUCCAACUCAAUUUCUUUACCAACUGAGCUAUCUCUCCAACCCCUACUGCUAUCUUCUUUUUUAGAAGGUACAGAGGAUCCAGUGGUAAUUUUGAGCGGAGGGUAAUGGGUUGGCUGAAAGAUGGGAUGAGGAACGAGUGUGGUAAAGAGGGGCUAUAAUCUGUUGGUGGUUUCUAAAUGGAACUGAGUGGUGAAGGGCUGAGGAGAGACCAAAAAGAGAGUAAGACUAAUCAAAAUAUCAGUAACUGCUGGUUAGAGACUCGAGAACUCGAUGAGCAACCAUCAUAGGAGGGGUGGAGAAAAGCUACUCAUAUACACUCAUAUACUGGAGAUGCAGUUUUCAAACCCCAGUGUGUGUGACUCACCUGGGGAACCAGAAUGUGGAUUCUCCUCUAGUUGGUCUGGAUGGACCCAGAGAUGCUGCCAUUAUUAACCAAAUCUCAAGAAGUGCAGAGGAUGCAUAAGUCACACCAGCAAGGAUGCUAAGGGUCAUGAGGAGAAAAAAAAAGAGUUUUGCUUGUUUGUUUGGUUGUCUUUUUUUUUUUUUAAGGAACUAAAUCAAGACAAAAAAAAAAACAAAAACUUACCAUACUAAGUUUGGUUUCCUGAAUUUGGCAUUAUGGGAUGUAGAAUAGUGUGAUGAUGAAAGGUUAGAUUAAUUUUCAGAUCAGGAUUAACCCUUUCUCCACAAUUAUUAGAAAGAUGAUUCUGGGUUUUUUGACCUUUGCUCUCUGGUUUCUAACUGAGAGGUUGCAGAGACUAGAUCACAAGACUGCUGCAUUGAUUAAUGGAGACACUCUGUUGUAAAAACAGGGGUGAUACUUACUGAAGGAAUAAAAAUCCUCUCUGUAGAUUUCACACAAUGUAAAGAGUAACUCAGCUCCUGGAGAGGCCCGUCUGGGCCUUUUCACAUUCAACUUUUCUGUUAG
ensembl:lncRNA